rnacentral:rRNA from 1 species
AUAUUGGACAAUGGGGUCAACCCUUAUCCAGCCAUGCCGCGUGUGUGUAGAAGUUCUUAGGAUUGUAAAGCACUCUAAGUUGGGAGGAAGGGCUUUAGGUUAAUACCCUGAAGUUUUGAUGUUACCAACAGAUUAAGCACCGGCUAACUCUGUGCUAGCAGCCGCGGUAAUACAGAGGGUGCAAGCGUUAAUCGGAAUUACUGGGCGUAAAGCGCGCGUAGGUGGUUCAGUAAGAUGGGUGUGAAAUCCCCGGGCUUAACCUGGGAACUGCUUUCAUAACUGCUGAGCUAGAGUACGGUAGAGGGUAGUGGAAUUUCCUGUGUAGCGGUGAAAUGCGUAGAUAUAGGAAGGAACACCAGUGGCGAAGGCGACUACCUGGACUGAUACUGACACUGAGGUGCGAAAGCGUGGGGAGCAAAC